AUACGGAGGAUCCGAGCGUUAUCCGGAUUUAUAGGGUUUAAAGGGUGCGCAGGCGGCCAUUUAAGUCAGCGGUUAAAUCGUGGGGCUCAACCCCAUUCUGCCGUUGAUACUGGGUGGCUUGAUUGCGGUCGAGGUUGGCGGAAUUCGUUGUGUAGCGGUGAAAUGCAUAGAUAUGACGAAGAACACCGAUUGCGUAGGCAGCUGACCAGACCGCAAAUGACGCUCAUGCACGAAAGUGCGGGGAUCGAACAGGAUUAGAUACCCUGGUAGUCCGCACAGUAAACGAUGAAUACUUGUUUUCGGCGAUAUAAUGUCGGAGGCAAAGCGAAAGCGAUAAGUAUUCCACCUGGGGAGUACGCCGGCAACGGUGAAACUCAAAUGAAUUGACGGGG
rnacentral:rRNA from 1 species